UCCUAAUGGUGCUCAGGUGGAUCAUAGG
rnacentral:piRNA from 1 species